GACAGAGGGUGCAAACGUUGUUCGGAAUUACUGGGCGUAAAGCGUAUGUAGGCGGCCAUGUAAGUCGGAUGUGAAAGCCCCAGGCUCAACCUGGGAAGUGCACUCGAUACUGCGUGGCUUGAGUAUCGGAGAGGUUGGUGGAAUUCUCGGUGUAGAGGUGAAAUUCGUAGAUAUCGAGAGGAACACCGGUGGCGAAGGCGGCCAACUGGACGAAUACUGACGCUGAGACACGAAAGCGUGGGGAGCAAACAGG
rnacentral:rRNA from 1 species